ACGAACGCUGGCGGCGUGCUUAACACAUGCAAGUCGAGCGGUAAGGCCCUUUCGGGGGUACACGAGCGGCGAACGGGUGAGUAACACGUGGGUGACCUGCCCUCAGCUCUGGGAUAAGCCUGGGAAACCGGGUCUAAUACUGGAUAUGACUCCAUGACGCAUGUUGUGGGGUGGAAAGCCUUGUGCGGCUGAGGAUGGGCCCGCGGCCUAUCAGCUUGUUGGUGGGGUGANGGCCUACCAAGGCGACGACGGGUAGCCGGCCUGAGAGGGCGACCGGCCACACUGGGACUGAGACACGGCCCAGACUCCUACGGGAGGCAGCAGUGGGGAAUCUUGCGCAAUGGGCGAAAGCCUGACGCAGCGACGCCGCGUGAGGGAUGAC
rnacentral:rRNA from 1 species